rnacentral:rRNA from 1 species
AACGAACGCUGGCGGCAUGCCUAACACAUGCAAGUCGAACGGGACCUUCGGGUCUAGUGGCGCACGGGUGCGUAACGCGUGGGAACCUGCCCUUAGGUUCGGAAUAACUCCCCGAAAGGGGUGCUAAUACCGGAUAAUGUCUUCGGACCAAAGAUUUAUCGCCUUUGGAUGGGCCCGCGUUGGAUUAGCUAGUUGGUAGGGUAAAAGCCUACCAAGGCGACGAUCCAUAGCUGGUCUGAGAGGAUGAUCAGCCACACUGGGACUGAGACACGGCCCAGACUCCUACGGGAGGCAGCAGUGGGGAAUAUUGGACAAUGGGCGAAAGCCUGAUCCAGCAAUGCCGCGUGAGUGAUGAAGGCCUUAGGGUUGUAAAGCUCUUUUACCCGGGAUGAUAAUGACAGUACCGGGAGAAUAAGCUCCGGCUAACCCCGUG